AACGGUAACGACACUAGCUUGCUAGUGGGCGACGAGUGGCGGACGGGUGAGUAACGCGUAGGAAUCUACCUAGUAGUGGGGGAUAGCCAAGGGAAACUUUGGGUAAUACCGCAUACGAUCUAAAGAUGAAAGGGGGCCUCUCUUUGAAGCUCUCGCUAUUAGAUGAGCCUGCGUAAGAUUAGCUUGUUGGUGGGGUAAUGGCCUACCAAGGCGACGAUCUUUAGCUGGUCUGAGAGGAUGAUCAGUCACACUGGAACUGAGACACGGUCCAGACUCCUACGGGAGGCAGCAGUCGGGAAUAUUGGACAAUGGGGGAAACCCUGAUCCAGCCAUGCCGCGUGUGUGAAGAAGGCUCUAGGGUUGUAAAGCACUUUUAGUAAGGAGGAAGGCUCAGUAGUUAAUACCUGCUGGGAUUGACGUUACUUACAGAAAAAGCACCGGCUAAUUUCGUGCCAGCAGCCGCGGUAAUACGAAAGGUGCAAGCGUUAAUCGGAAUUACUGGGCGUAAAGCGCGCGUAGGCGGCUUAGUAAGUUAGAUGUGAAAGCCCCGGGCUCAACCUGGGAACUGCAUCUAAAACUGCUAGGCUAGAGUAUGGUAGAGGAUUGCGGAAUUUCCCUGUGUAGCGGUGAAAUGCGUAGAUAUAGGAAGGAACAUCAAUGGGCAAGGGCGGCCAUCCUGG
rnacentral:rRNA from 1 species